CAUUCAUUUUGGACUCACUGGUCAGUUUCUCAUUCUUCCUUCAACGUGGUUCUGCUUGGCUGUGGUUGCCCUGACAGAGAAUUUGGGGACAAUUAGAGAAGAGCCUUGAAUUCAUCACAUGAUGGAAGCAAAAUUCCAGGAAGAGCAUAUUUCAUUUUCAUGGUAAAGUGGGGAGUGGGUGAAGGGAGUCAGAGUAGAGUGAGGUCUCUCGUCCACCCACUGAGCUCUAGUCUCAUGUUGUACAUAAAAUUGUUCUCGAGUUUUUGAGCUUUGAGGUGCCUCCCACCCCAGAAUCCCUCUAGCAUUUAUUGCCCAUUUCUCUCCUCUGUUAAUUGGAAUGUUUUCUGUAUUCUAGGCUCCAAUCAGCUUAAAGUCCUUGCAAAGAAAGAAAUUGUGCCCUGUCUCUCAGCAUUGACCACAGCAGAGAGCCUAGGAUGUGAAUGGGUGUCAAUAUUCAUCUGCUGAAUGAAUAGAAAUAUCCACCAAAUGCCCUCUCUGAGCCAAGCAUUAUGUUGUGGAGAUACACAAUUAAGACAUGUAAGUCAAUUACUAUCUGCUUUGUCUCUUAAACCUAGAACAUAAAAAGUUAAUUCUUAAUUCCUUCCCCCGCCUUUUUUUUUUUUUUUUGCUCAGCUUUUAUAGCCGUCAGAAUGCUUGUUGACUCUACCUCCAAAAUAUAUAACCUGGAUCUGUUACACCAAAUCAACUGCCGUACCUACCCACCUUAGGGCCGUGCCAUCAUCACUUUCACCUCAUCUAUUACAAUUGUCACCUAGCUGGUCUCCUGGCAUACACGGUUACCUUCCUUAUCAUUUAUCUUCUAGUAGCCACAGUGAUGUUUAAAAAUAUAAAUCCUAUCAUGUCAUCU
rnacentral:lncRNA from 1 species